UUGACCUCGAAUCAGGUAGGAAUA
rnacentral:rRNA from 3 species